UACGUAGGUGGCAAGCGUUGUCCGGAUUUAUUGGGUUUAAAGGGUGCGUAGGCGGCCCUGUAAGUCAGCGCUGAAAUAUCCCGGCCUAACCGGGAGGGUGGCAUUGAUACUGCAGGGCUUGAGUAAAGUUGAGGUUGGCGGAAUUGACGGUGUAGCGGUGAAAUGCUUAGAUAUCGUCAAGAACACCGAUAGUGAAGACAGCUAACUAAGCUUUAACUGACGCUGAGGCACGAAAGUGUGGGGAUCAAACAGG
rnacentral:rRNA from 1 species